rnacentral:rRNA from 1 species
UACGGAGGGUGCGAGCGUUGUCCGGAAUCAUUGGGCGUAAAGGGCGCGUAGGUGGCGGGACAAGCGUGCGGUGAAAGCUCGGGGCUCAACCCCGCGUCGGCCGUGCGAACUGUUUUGCUUGAGCACUGUAGAGGCAGGCGGAAUUCCGGGUGUAGCGGUGGAAUGCGUAGAGAUCCGGAAGAACACCAGUGGCGAAGGCGGUCUGCUGGGCGGUGGAUCCGCAAGGGUCCAAUAGCCGACACUGAGGCGCGACAGCGUGGGGAGCAAACAGG